rnacentral:rRNA from 1 species
ACACCGGCAGCUCUAGUGGUAGCUGUUUUUAUUGGGCCUAAAGCGUUCGUAGCCGGUUUGGUAAGUCACUGGUGAAAUCCUGUAGCUUAACUAUGGGAAUUGCUGGUGAUACUGUUGAACUUGAGGUCGGGAGAGGUUAGCGGUACUCCCAGGGUAGAGGUGAAAUUCUGUAAUCCUGGGAGGACCACCUGUGGCGAAGGCGACUAACUGGAACGAACCUGACGGGGAGGGACGAAAGGUAGGGGCGCGAACCGGAUUAGAUACCCGGGUAGUCCUAGCCGUAAACGAUGCGGACUUGGUGUUGGGAUGGCUUUGAGCCGCUCCGGUGCCGAAGGGAAGCUGUUAAGUCCGCCGCCUGGGAGGUACGGUCGCAAGACUGAAACUUAAAGGAAUUGGCGGGG